UCCGUAGGUGGAUAAUUAAGUCAGAGGUGAAAUCCUGCCGCUCAACGGUAGAAUUGCCUUUGAUACUGGUUAUCUUGAAUCAAUGUGAAGUGGUUAGAAUAUGUAGUGUAGCGGUGAAAUGCAUAGAUAUUACAUAGAAUACCAAUUGCGAAGGCAGAUCACUAACAUUGUAUUGACACUGAUGGACGAAAGCGUGGGGAGCGAACAGGAUUAGAUACCCUGGUAGUCC
rnacentral:rRNA from 1 species